AUUGAACGCUGGCGGAAUGCUUUACACAUGCAAGUCGAACGGCAGCACGGGGGCAGCCCUGGUGGCGAGUGGCGAACGGGUGAGUAAUACAUCGGAACGUGCCCGGUCGUGGGGGAUAACGUAGCGAAAGUUACGCUAAUACCGCAUACGAUCUGAGGAUGAAAGCGGGGGACCUUCGGGCCUCGCGCGAUCGGAGCGGCCGAUGUCAGAUUAGGUAGUUGGUGGGGUAAAGGCCUACCAAGCCGACGAUCUGUAGCUGGUCUGAGAGGACGACCAGCCACACUGGGACUGAGACACGGCCCAGACUCCUACGGGAGGCAGCAGUGGGGAAUUUUGGACAAUGGGCGCAAGCCUGAUCCAGCCAUUCCGCGUGCAGGACGAAGGCCUUCGCGUUGUAAACUGCUUUUGUACGGAACGAAAAGGCUCUGGCUAAUACCUGGGGCUCAUGACGGUACCGUAAGAAUAAGCACCGGCUAACUACGUG
rnacentral:rRNA from 1 species